rnacentral:lncRNA from 1 species
GUGAAAUACAGUAUAUGCUGCAUGUGGCCAUGUAAAUGAAUGUAUCAACUACUGCAACAUCCUGUUGGUGCUCCAGCCUUCCCACCUGAGCCAAGGAACUCGCAAUACACCGCUAUGGUGAUUUUGUCCCUGUUGCUCAAAGCACAGCCAUAAGAUGCCCAGGGAAAGGCAAGUUGCUUGAACCAUGGGGUGGAAGUGUUUUGUGGAAACAGCACCCAGCAGGAGGGCUGGGGCAGCUGCCAGCAGCCCUGAGAGGGGUUCACUCAGCUGUGUGGCCUGACCCAGGUGGGUGUGCAGGAUGGGAUCUCUUGCUUAAACGUCCCAAGGUAUCUUGGGGAGGGGGUGAUGUGAUGGGUCGGGAUGACCCAGCCCAUCUGAGGCUGUCACACUGCUGUGCUACCAGGGAUUAAGAAGGCUCUCUGUUAAUUAACAGGUAAUGAAGCACUUUGGAGACGAGGAGUAUGCGCUCUGCAAGACAAGAGAAAGAGCUGUGUUCCAGUGGCCUGCCACGCCAGGAGUUGCACAGCUUUUGGACACAUGCUGGCUUAGUGAAGCCUGCCAGGGAGAUGGGCUGUGCAAAGCCUUCUGAUGGCCUGGUGGAGGAUAACAGCUACAGGAGAGGAGCAGGAGGACAGCCUACCAGGUUUUGCUCAGGCCAGAAGGAUGAGGCUCUGUGUUUGUCAUUAGGACUGGGUACACACAGUUCUGUGGAUUUUGUACUUUUACAGCUGCUCUGUGAUAAUGUAAGAGAAAAAAUAAUCCUUUAUAGUCCGUGAUUAUCAGGCUGCAGUUUAUUAGAGAUAUAAAUGCCAGCAAUUUAAAUGACUCUGUAUUAAGUUGUCCUUGAAAAAACAUAAUUUGUAACUAAAAGGACAGUGCAAGGAACUCUUUGUGAAGCAAUAAUGCUGUAUUAGUCGGAACAAGGUUAGUAUAUUUAGAAUUUUUAAGCUGUUGAGUGUUUUUGAGCAAAGUUGACGUGUAGUGAUUAUCUUCCUCCUUUAUGGACAAAAAUAUUUUAUUGCUAGCUAUUAUGAACUCCACAAUCUCUAGGCAGAGAUUAUAAUGGACUAGAUACAUGGCACUAUCAAUAAUCUUAGUUAACAUUUCAGCUCUAUUAGCUUACUACACUGAUAGCAGUCAUUGCAGCCUGGAUGACAGUCAGAAGUAUGCCAGAAGAUAAUCGGACAAAAUUUACAUUUAGGAAGAAUUAUUCUGCAGGGCCACAUGUCCCACUGAUGUCUGAAAAUUUCACUCUUCUUCAGAUUGCAGUUUGCUACCGCUGUUUUGCUGUGCAAAUGGUUGUAAAGCAAGAAGGUUAUGGGAGGACGCUUGUGUGAAGCUCUGUUGAACGCCGGCUGCAGUGGCUUCUCGGUACUUGGUCGUCUUCCAGAUCUCUGGGGUUGGGCUCCACCUGUGCCAAAGAAGUGUGUCGUCUAGUGGUUCCCAUCCUUUCUGGAGCCAAGCCUCAUGUUCGAACCCUGGCAGUGUCCCAUGCUUCCUUGGAUCCAGCUCCAACUGGAUCAGGUCUCAGAGUCCUGGUUUGCCACUCGCACAUGUAUGCGUGCACCUGCGCUUUGAUGUGAAGCGUUAGCAAGUACAGUUUGGCACGGUAAUGCAAAAUCUGUCAGAGCAGGUUGCCCACCUGAAGUUAGGUUCCUCAAAUGUAGGGCAACCACAUUUCUGCUGUGAUUUCUGGGAUUCUGGAAAUCCUGUCGCAAUUUAGAAAGAAAUUGUACAGUCUCCAGCUCUGCUUCUCUCUCCAGACUGGGAGCUGGACUGGUUUGUAAAGUGUAGCCUCUAUACCCUGACUCCAUUUGUGAAUGUUCAGAAUAGCCCAGGGCUAAUCUGCCCCACGCUGGGGCACAGACAAAGCACCACGAUGGUUUUCUGCACCCUUUGAUGCACUAAUGCACCCAGGAAGCUGCUUGAGCUCUCUCAGAUAGAGCAAACCUUGCUCAGACAGAACUGGUGAGAGAACCAUUUCUUUCUUUUUUUCUUUUUCUUUUUCUUUUUUUUUUUUUAAUGCAGUUCUUCAGAUCAGCUUUCAAUCUAGUACUUUGAACGUGUGCUUCUUUCCCAUUGCUUUACAGUCAGAUGUGCAUGCGCUUCAGGGUCUCUUAAAUGGGGGUAUUUUCCACAACCAGGGCCCAAUGUUGAUGUUUCAUCACAAUUUUGCAAGAAUUUCAGCAGGAUGCAGUUUUCUUUCCCUUUCCAUAAGUUGUGCCAUUUGUCAGAUGUAGUAUGUACAGUAUCUAGGAAAUAUUUUUGCCUGGUUUAUAAAGGCAGUUGUUAGUCAGAUGGGCAAAAAUUUAAAAAGGUCUCUGCCACAGCUUGGAAAAUCGGACAAUUAAGUUAAAAUAGUCUUUGGUAAGUGCGUUUGUUUGGUAGAAAAUGCCUGCUGGAAAUCUUCCACUCACAAGACUUUUAUGAUGGUAAAUGUAAUUUCUGCCAAAGGAAGAAAUGUUGACUUUGCCUGAAUUUUGUAAGUUUAUCAUGAGAAAUAUCUAAACGUUUCAGAUCACUAUGGCCAUAAUUUCUGACUUGGUUUGUUCAAGCAAACGGAAGCUGUUAUUUUUUGCUUGAUUCACCCUAAAUCUAGCUGACUGAUCAGAUGGAGUUGUUUUGGGUCAGAUGCUCUGUUUAUGUUAUGGGGGGUUCUGGCUGGGCUGCAUGUCACACCCCGUGGGCAGCCCUGUAGGCCCUGGGUGGGGCGACGGGGCUGGAGACCCCAGCCUCUGCCCCCAGCCCAGCCCCUGUCAGGUGAAGCAGAGCUCUGGGGCCCUUCUGUUGAGAUGAAAUGUGUUGGCAUUUGUCUCUGGUUCUUUUCAGUUUUCCUGGUUCCACGAGCAUGUCCGACGCCGUCCCAGUACCCAAGAGAGCAAGCAGUAAGGUAGCAGUGUCUCUGGUGGUUUUCCAGUUCUCCUGACUGCUCCCUUUGUAUAUUUUAAGUAUCAGGUAUAUUUACGUGGUCUAUCACCCAGUGUGGCAGCAUGGCAGCGAAGUGCCUGACAUCCUUUCUCAUCUGGGGGGAAGCUGAGCAGGGUUUCCCCGUCGUUCCUCCAUCCCCAGGCAGCUGAAGCGGGAAGAGGCUGCUCUUCCUGGGCUGGCUUGGCCUGCUCUUCCUCUUCCUCUAAGGAAGGCCCCACCAGCCUGCUUUGCUAGCACUCUGAAGCCCACAGGGCAGCUCCAGAUGGACAGGUCGAUGCAGGUAACAACAUACUCCUGCCUGAUCCUGGGGACCUGCGGUGUGUAGCAGGGCAUUUAGCAGGGUGCUGCAAGUCUAAGGUCCCAUUUUCACUGUAACGUCCAAAGGAGUGUAGGAGAUCCUGCCAUGCAAAUCAUGAAUAUUCGGUUUUCCUUCACUCAGGCUUUAUUAGCAUUGUUUUGGUUUGCCAAAUUCUAGCUUGAGUUGGACCCAUGCUGCAGAAAGGCAUAUUAUGUUGUAUUUGCUUUAGCCCAAAAGAGUACACAAAGCACUGGAGCUUUCCAAACCCACAUCAAAGGUGAACAUACCCUCUGUUGUUCAGACACAUCUGUCAGAAAGGAUAAGUGUUUGCUGCCG